rnacentral:tRNA from 1 species
UAGAGAAUAGUAUAGGUGGUAAUACAAGAAAUUUUGGAUUUUUUAUGGUGGUUCGAAUCCUCAUUCUCUAA